UCCGGCUUGUCGCCGGCAGUCUCUCUAGAGUCCCCACCAUUACGUGCUGGCAACUAAAGACGGGGGUUGCGCUCGUUGCGGAACUUAAUCCAACACCUCACGGCACGAGCUGACGACAGCCAUGCAACACCUGUCAGGGGCCCUUACGGACCCUACAUCUCUGUAGGUUUUCACCCUCCUACUACGUACAUGUCAAGGCCAGGUAAGGUUCUUCGCGUUGCAUCGAAUUAAGCCACAUACUCCACCGCUUGUGCAGGCCCCCGUCAAUUUCUUUGAGUUUUAGCCUUGCGGCCGUACUCCCCAGGCGGGGUGCUUAAUGCGUUAGCUGCGGCACGGAAGUCUUGCGACCCCCACACCUAGCACCCACCGUUUACGGCUAGGACUAC
rnacentral:misc_RNA from 1 species